AACGAACGCUGGCGGCAGGCCUAACACAUGCAAGUCGAGCGAGCAUUUCGGUGCUAGCGGCGGACGGGUGAGUAACGCGUGGGAACGUGCCCUUUUCUGCGGAAUAGUCCUGGGAAACUGGGGGUAAUACCGCAUACGCCCUUUUGGGGAAAGAUUUAUCGGAGAAGGAUCGGCCCGCGUUGGAUUAGGUAGUUGGUGGGGUAAUGGCCCACCAAGCCGACGAUCCAUAGCUGGUUUGAGAGGAUGAUCAGCCACACUGGGACUGAGACACGGCCCAGACUCCUACGGGAGGCAGCAGUGGGGAAUCUUAGACAAUGGGGGCAACCCUGAUCGAGCCAUGCCGCGUGAGUGAUGAAGGCCUUAGGGUUGUAAAGCUCUUUCAGCUGGGAAGAUAAUGACGGUACCAGCAGAAGAAGCCCCGGCUAACUCCAUG
rnacentral:rRNA from 1 species